rnacentral:lncRNA from 10 species
GUGCGCGGGCGGAUGGAUCAACGCCGCCAAGUGGGGAAAGCGCGAAUGCAGUCCCCCACUACAACAAAUUAUGCAGUCGAGUUUUCCACAUUUGGGAAUAUCACAGGGGUCAGCACAUCCGGAGUGCAAUCGAUGAGCCCCACGCUGGGAAAAACCACCUUCGUGAUCAUGGUAUCUUCCCUGCCAGAGAGAAACCAAUCAGCUUCAUUUUCAACUUCUUCUAUGACUCCAGAGGAUUCACUUUGCAUCUUGUGACAAAUGAAUAUAUUACCUGAAAAAAAAAUGACAGGAUAGAUAUUGAAGAAAUAAUUUUUUAUAGGACUCUGGAGUGAAGGGAUUAAUAUUGACCAGAGCCAAUGAGGUCAUCUCAUCCUUGAGGGGAGCAGGUGUGAGCUUCAAAUGCUUAGGGCCUCUGGAAGGAAGCUUCCCUGUUGGAGAAAUCACCAACCGGCUCAGCAUGGUCUGAAUGAGGAUGACAAAAGAAGCAGAUACAGGCAAUAUGCUUACUGUACAGCCUGCAGAACUGAGUUGCUGCACAGGGGGAAAGCGAAGUUCCCAGGAGUAAGAUGUGCAAGAAGCG